rnacentral:rRNA from 1 species
AUGGACAAGGUGAAGAGCCAUGGCAGCAAGCAGAGGCGGUCAGGAAGAGGAAGGAUCAGCAGGAUGUUGAGGCAACAAAAGGCCAGGCUCUACAUCAUCCAGCGAUGCGUCGUCAUGCUCCUAUGCUACCAUGACUGA